rnacentral:rRNA from 1 species
CAGUCGAGCGGGGUAGCAAUAUCCAGCGGCGGACGGGUGAGGAAUACAUAGGAAUUUGCCUUUAGGUGGGGGAUAGCUUGGGGAAACUCAAGGUAAUACCGCAUGAUGUCGCAAGACCAAAGUGGGGGAUCGCAAGACCUCGCGCCUUUAGAGAAGCCUAUGUCUGAUUAGCUAGUUGGUGGUGUAAUGGACCACCAAGGCUACGAUCAGUAACUGGUCUGAGAGGACGAUCAGUCACACCGGAACUGAGACACGGUCCGGACUCCUACGGGAGGCAGCAGUGGGGAAUAUUGGACAAUGGGCGAAAGCCUGAUCCAGCAAUUCCGCGUGUGUGAAGAAGGCCUUCGGGUUGUAAAGCACUUUAGGUUGGGAAGAAAAAAGUUCUUCUAAUACGAGAACUCUUGACGGUACCAAAAGAAUAAGCACCGGCUAACUCUGUGCCAGCAGCCGCGGUAAUACAGAGGGUGCAAGCGUUAAUCGGAUUUACUGGGCGUAAAGCGUGCGUAGGUGGUCGUAUAAGUCGGAUGUGAAAGCCCCGGGCUCAACCUGGGAACUGCAUUCGAUACUGUAUGACUCGAGUUCGGUAGAGGGUGGUGGAAUUCCCGGUGUAGCGGUGAAAUGCGUAGAUAUCGGGAGGAACAUCAAUGGCGAAGGCAGCCACCUGGGCCUGAACUGACACUGAGGCACGAAAGCGUGGGUA